rnacentral:tRNA from 1 species
GUGGUUGUAGCUCAGUGGUAGAGCACUUGCCUAGCAUGUGUGAGACACUGGGUUGGAUCCUCAGCACCACA